UGCAAGUCGUACGAGAGUUUUUAACUCUAGUGGCGGACGGGUGAGUAACACGUGAGAAUUUGCCUUUAGGAGGGGGACAACAAUCGGAAACGAAUGCUAAUACCCCAUAUGCUUUCGAGUGAAAUGGAUUUUAUCCGCCUAGAGAGAAGCUCGCGGCUGAUUAGCUUGUUGGUAAGGUAAGAGCUUACCAAGGCGACGAUCAGUAUCUGGUUUGAGAGGACGAUCAGACACACUGGAACUGAGACACGGUCCAGACUCCUACGGGAGGCAGCAGUGGGGAAUUUUCCGCAAUGGGCGAAAGCCUGACGGAGCAAUACCGCGUGAGGGAAGAAUGCCUAUGGGUUGUAAACCUCUUUUUUCAGGGAGGAAUCAAAUGACGUGUACCUGAAGAAUAAGCAUCGGCUAACUCCGUGCCAGCAGCCGCGGUAAGACGGAGGAUGCAAGUGUUAUCCGGAAUCACUGGGCGUAAAGCGUCUGUAGGUGGUUUAAUAAGUCAACUGUUAAAUCUUGAUGGCUCAACUUCAAAAUCGCAGUCGAAACUACUAGACUAGAGUAUAGUAGAGGUAAAGGGAAUUUCCAGUGGAGCGGUGAAAUGCGUAGAUAUUGGAAAGAACACCGAUGGCGAAAGCACUUUACUGGGCUAUUACUAACACUCAGAGACGAAGCUAGGGUAGCAAUGGGAUUGAUACCCAGUAGUCUAGCUGUAACAAUGGAUCUAGAUGUUGACAGAUCGACUGUGCAGUAUCAGCUACGCGUAG
rnacentral:rRNA from 1 species